AGACGGGGGGGGCAAGCGUUGUUCGGAAUUACUGGGCGUAAAGGGCGCGUAGGCGGCCUGGGAAGUCUUGGGUGAAAGCCCUCAGCUCAACUGGGGAAUGGCCUGAGAAACCACUGGGCUGGAGUGCUGGAGGGGGAAGCGGAAUUCCCGGUGGAGCGGUGAAAUGCGUAGAUAUCGGGAGGAACACCAGAGGCGAAGGCGGCUUCCUGGACAGACACUGACGCUGAGGCGCGAAAGCGUGGGGAGCAAACAGGAUUAGAAACCCCGGUAGUCC
rnacentral:rRNA from 1 species